GGUUGUAGCUCAGUGGCAGAGUGCUUGCCUAGCACACGUGAGGCACUGGGUUCAAUCCUCAGAACCA
rnacentral:tRNA from 1 species